rnacentral:rRNA from 1 species
UGGGGAAUAUUGGACAAUGGGGGCAACCCUGAUCCAGCCAUGCCGCGUGGGUGAAGAAGGCCUUCGGGUUGUAAAGCCCUUUUGUUCGGGAAGAAAUCGUCGGGAUUAAUACCUUCGACGGAUGACGGUACCGGAAGAAUAAGCACCGGCUAACUUCGUGCCAGCAGCCGCGGUAAUACGAAGGGUGCAAGCGUUACUCGGAAUUACUGGGCGUAAAGCGUGCGUAGGUGGUUUCUUAAGUCCGUUGUGAAAGCCCUGGGCUCAACCUGGGAAUGGCAGUGGAUACUGGGAAGCUAGAGUGCGGUAGAGGAUGGUGGAAUUCCCGGUGUAGCGGUGAAAUGCGUAGAGAUCGGGAGGAACAUCAGUGGCGAAGGCGGCCAUCUGGACCAGCACUGACACUGAGGCACGAAAGCGUGGGGAGCAAACAG